UGGGGAAUCUUGCGCAAUGGGCGAAAGCCUGACGCAGCCAUGCCGCGUGAAUGAUGAAGGUCUUAGGAUUGUAAAAUUCUUUCACCGGGGACGAUAACGACGGUACCCGGAGAAGAAGCCCCGGCUAACUUCGUGCCAGCAGCCGCGGUAAUACGAAGGGGGCUAGCGUUGCUCGGAAUUACUGGGCGUAAAGGGAGCGUAGGCGGACAUUUAAGUCAGGGGUGAAAUCCCGGGGCUCAACCUCGGAACUGCCUUUGAUACUGGGUGUCUUGAGUGUGAUAGAGGUAUGUGGAACUCCGAGUGUAGAGGUGAAAUUCGUAGAUAUUCGGAAGAACACCAGUGGCGAAGGCGACAUACUGGAUCAUUACUGACGCUGAGGCUCGAAAGCGUGGGGAGCAAACAGGAUUAGAUACCCUGGUAGUCCACGCCGUAAACGAUGAUUGCUAGUUGUCGGGGUGUUUACACCUCGGUGACGCAGCUAACGCAUUAAGCAAUCCGCCUGGGGAGUACGGUCGCAAGAUUAAAAACUUAAAUGAAUUGAC
rnacentral:rRNA from 1 species